rnacentral:rRNA from 1 species
CCUACGGGUGGCAGCAGUAGGGAAUAUUGCUCAAUGGGGGAAACUCUGACGCAGCAACGCCGCGUGGAGGAUGAAGGUUUUAGGAUUGUAAACUCCUUUUGUAAGAGAAGAUAAUGACGGUAUCUCCCGAAUAAUCACCGGCUACCUCCGAGCCAGCAGCAGCGGUAAUACGGAGGGGGCAAGCGUUACUCGGAAUCACUGGGCGUAAAGAGUGCGCAGGCGGGCUUGUAAGUCAGAUGUGAAAUCCUGUAGCUUAACUACAGAACUGCAUUUGAAACUAUGAGUCUAGAGUGUGGGAGAGGUAGGUGGAAUUCUUGGUGUAGGGGUAAAAUCCGUAGAUAGUAAGAGGAAUACUCAUUGCGAAGGCGACCUACUGGAACAUGACUGACGCUCAUGCACGAAAGCGUGGGGAGCAAACAGGAUUAGAUACCCGUGUAGUC